rnacentral:rRNA from 1 species
UACGGAGGGGGCAAGCGUUGUUCGGAAUCAUUGGGCGUAAAGGGCGCGUAGGCGGCCGUCCAAGUCGGGUGUGAAAUCCCUCGGCUCAACCGAGGAACUGCACUCGAUACUGGUUGGCUAGAGUCCGGGAGGGGAUGGUGGAAUUCCCAGUGUAGCGGUGAAAUGCGUAGAUAUUGGGAAGAACACCGGUGGCGAAGGCGGCCAUCUGGACCGGAACUGGACGCUGAGGCGCGAAAGCCAGGGGAGCGGAAUGGG